CUGUAAAUAAGACUACUAGUUUACUUUGCAGAAUGCAAAGAGGUAAAGCUGCUUACCUUCUCUUAUCAGUAACUGCCAGAGUUGCUAGCCUUUGCUUACCAGUAAUAUCCAGAAUAAGCAGCUCAAGUUAAUUCCAUCCUGGCUCCUGUGACUGGUAAUAAGUAACUAAAGAUCUGUGAAUUCUAAUACUGCCCAGACAAUGUAUAAACUAAUGUUUAUUUUCACUUCUGUAAACCACUUAAGUAACAAUCAGAAUGACAAAAGUCCCCUGGCCCUUGGAAUGUCCAGAGCCCACCCCCAUCAUCCUCAUCUCGGCCCAGGAGGUGAUUUACAGAAUCCACCAACCCUCAAAAUGACUGAGGCCUUCCAUCCCCAUCGCCGCCCCUCACCCCCACUCCCAAGGUGGUUUUAUGGGUAUAAAAAGGUCUUGUCAUGCUUUCUCUGCCACAGGUUGGAGAGACGUGAGUCCUCCAUGGUCGCUGGCAAUAAACCCUGCAAUUUGGCAUACUUUUGUCUUGGUGUUGACUUUCUAUGCUCAGUCCAGUAUAACAUUUGGAGGCCCCAGCAAGAUGUUCUAUUUUUCAUCACAGACAAAAGCCAUCUCAGAGUCUCGCCCAGGUGGCCACUCCCACCUCGGAAGCCUCUAGGGGAGGCACCCCCUGAGUUGCCCCAGGGCCCCAGAGAGUCACUGUGGAGGAUAAGCAACCGCCCAGCCGACGUUCACCCAAAAUUCUUCACGGUACUAAAAGGCCUCUGGAAAUAUAGAUGUCUCACUUUGUUGCCUAGGCUGGAGUGCAGUGGUGAUUCUGACACAUGA
rnacentral:lncRNA from 1 species